GAGAAGAGAAAGGGACAGAAGAGGGGAAAGGAGGUGAGGGUGAGAGAGCGAGCGAGCGCAAAAGGGGCGAGCGCGAGAGGCGCUCUGGAGAGAAACGCACAAAAGUGUCCCGCAAGUCGAAAUAGUGAAGCUGCAAAGCUGAGAAGACUUGAAUGGCCUUAUAUCUUCAAAGAAGUGCCUUGAGCUCUGGAAUGCCACAGAGUGGGAGAAACCACCGAACACCAGGAAAUGUCAACAAUGUGACAGGAACGCCUGGGCAGAAACGAACUGAUUUGGGAACACAUUGUUAACAGUGCGUGCAUAAAUUUAAGGACACACUUUGCAGGUAAUUCCUUAUUAUACUUUG